GAUGAACGCUGGCGGCGUGCCUAAUACAUGCGAGUCGAGCGAACGGACGAGAAGCUUGCUUCUCUGAUGUUAGCGGCGGACGGGUGAGUAACACGUGGAUAACCUACCUAUAAGACUGGGAUAACUUCGGGAAACCGUAGCUAAUACCGGAUAAUAUUUUGAACCGCAUGGUUCAAAAGUGAAAGACGGUCUUGCUGUCACUUAUAGAUGGAUCCGCGCUGCAUUAGCUAGUUGGUAAGGUAACGGCUUACCAAGGCAACGAUGCAUAGCCGACCUGAGAGGGUGAUCGGCCACACGGGAACUGAGACACGGUCCAGACUCCUACGGGAGGCAGCAGUAGGGAAUCUUCCGCAAUGGGCGAAAGCCUGACGGAGCAACGCCGCGUGAGUGAUGAAGGUCUUCGGAUCGUAAAACUCUGUUAUUAGGGAAGAACAUAUGUGUAAGUAACUGUGCACAUCUUGACGGUACCUAAUCAGAAAGCCACGGCUAACUACGUG
rnacentral:rRNA from 1 species